GUGGGGAAUUUUGGACAAUGGGCGCAAGCCUGAUCCAGCAAUGCCGCGUGCAGGAAGAAGGCCUUCGGGUUGUAAACUGCUUUUGUACGGAACGAAACGGUCCGGGUUAAUACCCUGGGCUAAUGACGGUACCGUAAGAAUAAGCACCGGCUAACUCUGUGCCAGCAGCCGCGGUAAUACAGAGGGUGCAAGCGUUAAUCGGAUUUACUGGGCGUAAAGCGCGCGUAGGUGGCCAAUUAAGUCAAAUGUGAAAUCCCCGGGCUCAACCUGGGAAUUGCGCUUGUGACUGCAAGGCUGGGGUGCGGCAGAGGGGGAUGGAAUUCCGCGUGUAGCAGUGAAAUGCGUAGAUAUGCGGAGGAACACCGAUGGCGAAGGCAAUCCCCUGGGCCUGCACUGACGCUCAUGCACGAAAGCGUGGGGAGCAAACAGGAUUAGAAACCCUUGUAGUCC
rnacentral:rRNA from 1 species